ensembl:piRNA 21ur-2062 ncRNA
UGAUCCUUUUGCAAUUGACGA